rnacentral:rRNA from 1 species
AACGAACGCUGGCGGCAGGCUUAACACACGCAAGUCGAACGGUUGUAGCAAUACAGCAGUGGCGCACGGGUGAGUAACGCGUGGAUAUCUGCCUUUUGGUUCGGAAUAACUCCGGGAAACUGGAGCUAAUACCGGAUGGUUCCUACGGGAUAAAGAUUUAUCGCCAAAAGAUGAGUCCGCGUACGAUUAGCUAGUUGGCGGGGUAAGGGCCCACCAAGGCGACGAUCGUUAGCUGGUCUGAGAGGACGAUCAGCCACACUGGGACUGAGACACGGCCCAGACUCCUACGGGAGGCAGCAGUGGGGAAUAUUGGACAAUGGGGGCAACCCUGAUCCAGCCAUGCCGCGUGAGUGAUGAAGGCCUUCGGGUUGUAAAGCUCUUUUGGCGGGGACGAUGAUGACGGUACCCGCAGAAUAAGCCCCGGCUAACUUCGUGCCAGCCGCCGCUGUAACAC